GUGGAAGAGGGGGUGGGGGUGGGGGAAGAGAGAGAGAGAGAGAUGCUCCUGCCGCGCGCCCACCCGGCCUCCCCCACCCACAUGGCUUUGAACUCAGUCGGCGCGAGCCGCAGAAAGAGUCCCGGGAAGGAUAAAGGACCGCUGACUUGAAGGCUGGGUUGCUGACCUGAAGGUUGCCAGUUCGAAUCCAACCCUGGGAGAGAGCUCCUUCUAUCAGCUCUAGCUCCACGCGAGGACAUGAGAGAAGCCUCCCACAAGAAUGUUUCCAGUCCGGUCCUACCCAACCACUGUAGCCACUCAGAAGGAACUUGGGGGGAGGGAGGUUACUCCCUCACACUUCCCCCAUCAUCACUGCAGAUGAUGAGGAACAGGUAAGGCUCAUGUCAUGAUCAGAAAAACUGCCAUGACACGGAAAUUGGGAGGUGAUAGUAAGGAGGGUCAGUCAGUGACACCGGACCAUAUUCACUGUGUGGUUGGCAUUCCUUCCUGCUUCCACAGCACCCAAGGGGUGCCUGUCGGACCCAUCUUAGUACCAAUCCAGAGUACACCAAUCAAAAUCAGCCUGGGAAUAGUGAAUCAGUGUAGCUCCACCCUUGCUUCUCUGUGUGUGGUAUGUGGGUAGGGAGAGACCUAUCUGAAAAACUGUAUCUAUGUAUAUAAACCUGGCUGACUGUUAAGAUCUGUGAGGGAGAGUUUUUUGUCAGUCCCACCAUCAUUAAAGAUAUGUUUGUUGAGAACAUUGGGGGGAGGAACCUUCCCAGGCACCUUCUACAAUGCCCUGUAUCCUAGGAUCUGAUCCCAAAUUAACUAAACUGGAUUAUAUGAGUCUACACUGCCAUAUAAUCCAGUUCAAAGCAGAUAAUCUAGAAGGAGCCUCAGUGGCUGCUUCCAAGUUAUGGAAGUCUCCUUGAUGGGAUGUUGAAUUGGGGCCCUCACCGAUGUGCUUCUGUUGUCAGAUCUUUAUAUUUAGGCAGGUCUUUGGGUUUUUUAACUUACAGUAGAGUCUCACUUAUCCAACAUAAAUGGGCCGGCAGAACGUUGGAUAAGUGAAAAUGUUAGAUAAUAAGGAGGGAUUAAGGAAAAGCCUAUUAAACAUCAAAUUACAUUGUAAUUUUACAAAUUAAGCACCAAAACAUCAUGUUUUACAACAAAUCGCCAGACAAAGCAGUUCAAUACAUGGUAACAUUAUGUAGUAAUUACUGUAUUUACGAAUUUAGCACCAAAACAUCACAAUGUAUUGAAAACAUUGACUACAAAAAUACUGACUACUAAAAGGCAGAUUGCGUUGGAUAAUACAGAAUGCUGGAUAAGCGAAGGUUGGAUACGUGAGACUCUACUGUAUUUCAUCAGAUGGACUGUGUUGUUUCUGAGUUUUAUUAUGUCUUAAGUGUGUUUUUAACCUGUUUUAACAUGUGCUUUUAAACAGAAUUAUAGUUUAAUUUGUUAUUUAUAUUUUAAACAGUUGUAAGCUAUCUUGUGCCCCUGGUGGCACAGUGUGUUAAAGUGCUGAGCUGCUGAACUUGCAGACCAAAAGGUCCCAGGUUCAAAUCCCAGGAGCGGAAUGAGCGCCCGCUGUUAGCCCCAGCUCCUGCCAACCUAGCAGUUUGAAAACACGCAAAUGUGAGUAGAUCAAUAGGUACCGCUCCGGCGAGAAGGUAACGGCGCUCCAUGCAGUCAUGCCGGCCACAUGACCUUGGAGAUGUCUAUGGACAACGCCAGCUCUUCGGCCUAGAAAUGGAGAUGAGCACCAACCCCCAGAGUCGGUCACGACUGGACUUAAAGUCAGGGGAAACCUUUACCUUUAUCUUUAAGCUAUCUUGAAUCCUAUCUCAGAAAAAUGGUAGGAUAUACAUUUAUUUACUUUAUGUUCCACCUCUCUUCCAGCACCUGACUGAAGGCAAUUCACAAGACUUAAAACAAAACACAGCUUUAAAAAAUAUAAAUGCGCCCUAGUUCAUGUUUAUUUCAGAUAAAUGUAUCUGACAUUGGACCCUGUAGAUGACAUGCCAAAACCAUGAAUAACUGAGUACUCCUCAAGCAUCAUUCUGUCACUCCUCAUUUUUGAAUGGCUUCAAACUGUCAUUAUAUUCAUACUUCUUUAAAGUAGCUUUCCAAGGGCUGGUGCCAGAGAUAUAUAUCUGAAGUAGCCACUGCCUGCUUUAAGCAAGAGCAAGUUUAUCAGAUGCUAAAAGGAAUGUAAUCUUUUACCUUAAUAUCAUAUGGAGGAUUUAUAGUAACAUAAUGGUAGCUUAUUAAAAAGAAGACCCUAAAUCACAGCUGAAUGAUUCUGCAACUGUUGCUCUCAAAGCAGAAUGUGAAAAUUAAAUAGGAAUGAGAAUAUCUCUUUCUUUAGUGUUGAUGAUAAAAGAAAUAAGGCUUAGUUGUAAUUUGGAAGUAAAUUUUCCCUGGUUAUAUGUAAUUUCAACCCAUACAAAAUUACUAGUGUUGGUGGUAUACAUAUAAACAAGUACAUAUUUUUCAUAUAAAUCACACACUGGAGCAUAAAAGGUAAAUAGAUAUAAGACAGCUGCAGAAUAUAAUUUAGAAGCUAAAGGCAGUGCUUGCACAUAAUCUAUCUAAAUUAUAUUUUCUUAAACAGAAAUAAGACAUUUUAAAGGAAAACCCACACACAAUUUUUUUGCAAGUGAUUUGUGCCUCAUGCCCGUAAUUACUGAGUGCAGAGAGUUAAAUUUACAUCUUACCAAACCCAUUUGCAGUUUAUGCUGGAGAAACUGAUUGUGGUUAAGCCUAGUGGGGCUACUCAGUAACCAUAUGCCAUACUAAAGCUUGUUUUAAUGUUAGUGCUUAUGAAUAUUUUAUUCUACUUACUUUAAACUUGAAUUAAUACUUGUUUUGCUUUUAACAAGAACUUGUUACAUAUUUGAAAAUUGAUGUAAAGAAAGCAACAGCGACUGGUACCUCUCAUGUUAGGUGAGUGAUGAGUCUGUUUAAUGUUUUAGGACCUCAUCACAUUACCUCCUUGCUCCGUCCUAGGAUGCUUCCAGGACAGAGCCAGGACGGAGGCCACCAGAGCCCAUCACAUGACACGGGGCUACUUCUACCGGGGCUCCAUUCUGGAAGUGUCCUAGGAUGGAGCCCUAAGAACAUAAGAGGCUUUCCAUGUUCUUAUUGCUUAGAAGGGGGCAGUGCAGAGGGAAGCCGGGUGAUGAUGCUUUCCCUGUGAUGAGGAAAGCAGCAAUGCAGGAAAUGUGGGUCACAGAGCAACAGUUUCCUCCACUACCCCACAGAUUUGCCGGCGAAUCCCCUUGCUGUUGCCUGCAUUUUGGACCUUAAUGUGAUGAGGUCCUCAGUCUGAACUCUAAGGGGACCUUAACAACUCUAAGGGCAGCUCAUCAUCCUGAAAAAAGGCUUACCAUGUCAAAUUGUUCCUUUAAGUUUGAGCCUAAAAUUUACCAUCCAGUUGACAUGGAUGUCAAUAUGUCUCUGAAGGAAAUGUAUUAGUGCUGAUAUCAAGUGCAGUAGAAAGUCCAAAAGUGCUGCAUGGUUUUUGACUCUUAUCUUUCUAGAUACACCCUUUUAUUGCUAUAUGGCAAACAAAGGGAGCAUCUCCACUGUAGAAUUAAUGCACUUUUACACCACUUUAACUGUCAUGGCUUAAUACAAUGGAAUCUUGGGAGUUGUAGUUUUACAGUAUCUUUGGCAUUCUCUGUCAAAAAAAUGCUGGUGCCUCAUUAAACUAUAACUCCCAGGCAUGCCAAGAUUACUUCAAAAAUAUUUGGUUUAUUUUUUCAGUUUGUUUCAUUUUACAAAUAAUCACAUUCAGUUAUUUUACAAAGAAUGUCUCUCAGGUUAGAAAUUUAAGGGUUAUAACAUUUUGCUGUUGAAAAAGGAAUGUACUAUAAAUAUUAGUUUAAAAUAUUUGGAAUAAAGCCCUUUGAGAGGUAGAAUAAGCCCUUCUGACCUAUAUGUAUUUGUAUUACUAGCUGUAUUUCACUCUAUAUGGAUGUGGGUAGCAUGUGAACAAUACAAUCAUUUAUUCUUUCAUUUAAGCCCCAUCUUUCUCCAAAGACUGGUAUUCAAAGCAGAGCACAAAAAAUUAAACAAGCAGGUAUAAACAAAACAAGUUAAAAGGUGAAACUUUUCUAACUAAAGAAAUUCUAAGUUGAACACAUGACACAGACACAAGCAAUUGAUAAAAAAAUAUGGUGCAAACCUUCUGCAUGAAAAGCAUUUGUUCAGCAGCUGCCCAAAGUUGGUGAGAAUAGAUAGAUCUAUGUUUGCUCUUGGGACUGCAUUACAUGGGGAAAAUUCCCCAUCAUAGAACACUUUGCCAACACAGCUGGCAUGAAGCCUGCUGGAUCUCAUCACAUGACGCACAUCUACUUCUGGUGGGGCUCUGUUCUGGCUGUAUCGGUGAAGUGUGCUACAAGGAAGAAAUCGAAACAGACGAGACUACCUGUGUUCAGAUAAAAAAUCAUGAGGUCAGCAUGGGAGCACACUGGAAAGGUACGAUUUCUGGCAUGUAAUGGGCAAGAGGGUAAUGUGGGACACUUGGCAACAGAUUUGUCCCGCUGCCCUACAAUUUGCCCCAUUGUCACCCGCAUCAAGGACCUCCAUGUGAUUAAGUCCUCAGACAUGCAACAAGGUUGGGAUCAAUUUAUUCUUCCUUUCCGUAGCCUUAAACAGUGGUUCUCAACCUGUGGGUCCCUAGGAGUUUUGGCCUACAACUUCCAGAAAUCCCAGCCAGUUUACCAACUGUUAGGAUUUCUGGGAGUUGAAGGCCAAAACAUCUAGGGACCCACAGGUUGAGAACCACUGACCUAGAAGCAACCACCAAAAGCUUUGGUCACUUUGCCCAGUAGUGGUUCCAUGUUUGGCAGGCCCUCUGGCCAGGAUGCCUUUAGGUGACUAAUGGUAGGGGGCUGCUACUAAUCUAUUUAUUACCUCUACAGACCCAAUCCCCACAAUCAACUGAGGUGCAAGUUUCAUGUUAACUUGUCCUUUAUUAUACUUCUGUCACAACUAGGUUACUGGGCAAAUGAACAGAGAAUGGAGGUGACUUCCACAUUAGCACCAUGGUGAAUCUAUUUCUUUAAAGGUACUAUCCAAGAUGCUGAAUCUAAUUAGGAACUUUGGACUAAAAGCCAGGGCAAAUUAACCAACCCACAUACAUGGAAGGUAUCAGUGAAAAGGAUAUGGAAAAGGACCCUGGAGAUGACAGAGACUGGACGGUCAGCUUUGUUACUAGGCAAGUUGAGGCAACCAACUCAGCAAUAGUUGAUGGAGGAAAAUAUGAUUGUGAUAUUAGAGAAUGGGACUAUAUGGACUACGUGCUAGGCUAGGCUAACUUUUUGCCUUCGAAAGACACCACACCAAUGCCAGUUUCACAAGAAGAAAUCCGAUUAGUUCCUAUGCACUGAAUAAGUGGCACCAGUUUAUCUUUUACCUCAGACACAAAAAGUCUUAAUGCAAUCCCAAGAAAUUACAGAUGGGUCCUUUAUUAGGCAAUAGGUACCAGCAAAUGCCUGGCAAUACCAACUGGUCUCUAACACAGAAUAGAGAUAACUCAGGGAAUCAGCUUUGGUCACAUGCUAUUUCUUUCAGAUACUUGCCGUCACAGCUGUGUUUAUAUUUGAGAAGAUCCAGGAAAUGUGAAAAUUUCUGAUUCAUUCUGUGAAAUUAUUUGUUCUUGCAAAGAUGGGAGUGCUUAUGUAUUUUUCCUCUCUACCAUAACUUCCUACUCUUCAGAAGGAAAGUAACAACCUGGCUCUGGGAUCAGGCCUUUGGGGAAUAGCGCAGUGCAAUAAUAACGUUGGAGUAUGUGCAAUGACCACGGAACGGCUCAGACUAUGGUUUUCGGAUGGCGUGAUUUUAAUUGAUUGCAAUUUUAAAUGUUUAAUAAGUAUUAAUUUUAAUUUUAAUUAUUUCAGAUUCAAUGUGUUGUAUGUUUUUAAGGCAUUGAAUAAUUGCCAUAUGUAAGACACCUUGAGUCCCCUUCAGGGUAGAAAAAGGUGGGGUAUAAAUGGGAUAAAUAAAUAAAUAACAGGUAGAGGAAAGGACAUAUUAAGAUCCAUAGGAAAAAAGAGACAAGUAUUCAUGACCUUAUUUAUAGUCUGCAUUUUAUUCUUUACAAAGCCUUUAUGAUUAUCCUAUUUCGUAAAAGACCAAUCACAUUUCAGUGGGGUGCUGUGUGGUUCCCGGGCUGUAUGGCCGUGUUCUAGCAGUAUUUUCUCCUGACAUUUCACCUGCAUCUGUGGCUGGCAUCUUCAAAGAUCCUUCAAAGAAAAUGUUGCUAGAACACAGCCAUACAGCCCAGAAACCACACAUACCCACAAUGAUUCCGGCCGUGAAAGUCUUCCACAAUAUAUAAUCACAUUUGAGCCUUUAUAUUGUACUGAAUGGGCUUCUUUAGGAGCUGAAUAGCAUGUAUAUGGUUUUUUAAAAUAAAAUAUCAAGUAUAAAGAAUGUGAACCAUUAUGUUACAUUGUAUGAUCAUAACCAGAAUUAUACAUUGUUCUUUUCUACAUCUUAAGAUGCAAUGUAAUUUAUUGUUGGUAUUUAUGUUUGCUUCUAGUGUAGCCCCUGAAAAAUACAGUAAAAUUUCUGAAAAAACAUUGGAGAGUAAAAUGAGGGAAAGGAUAUACAGAUUUGACAAGUUAUUAUAGUCUGCUAUGUACAAAUGUACUAUUUUAUACAAAUAACCAAAUAAAAUGUUUUGUUCUUGAA